ACGUUUCCAAAAACCAACCAUUCUUGCUUUAAUAUUAACAGACACUGGUACUCUACCUAGUUCACCAUAUACAAUGCAAUUAGGUGUACAUUUUUUAACUUUCAUUAUAUAUUUACAAAAUUCUAAGUGCAAUGAUUCAAUAACAUCAUUUUUCUCAUACCCCCAAACUUCUGCACCGUACAUUAAUAUAGGGCCAACCAUAGCAUCAAAAAGUUGUAACAAUACAUCUAUAGGUAAAUACAAUUUUCUUGCCUUACGUAAUACAUAAAACAUUGCUUUUCUGGCUUGUUGAACCAGUCUAGAUUUAUUAAUAUGAAAAGUACCUUUUCUAGAAAAUACAAUACCUAAAUAUUGAAAUUCAUCAAUAACAGAUAAACGGUCAUUAUUAUAUAUAAAAUGAACAUUAUCAGCCUGUCGACUUUUAGAAAAUAUAACAACAUUGGUUUUUUCAGUAUUAACUUUGAGAUUCCAUGUUUCAC
rnacentral:lncRNA from 1 species